CCCCUCCCCCUUUUUCCUUUGUUUGUCAGGGGUGUGCGGAAAACAACUCCACGCGCGGCACAAUUUGACAAAAAGACUGUAAUAAUUUUUUUUUUUUCAGAAAAAUUAAAAAAAAAGAGAGAAAAUAAUAAUAAUAAAAAUAAAAAGACAAAACGCAGGCGGGAUCAGACGCCGGGGGUUGUUUGGCGUUUAGUUUGUCUUUUCUUUCCCCCUUCCCUCCCCUGCCCGCCAGCCAAGCUGGCAGGCGGCGGCUCGCUUCCCUCGGCCCGGUGGGGACAAGUCCGUGUGCCGCCUCUCCGCUCCUCCUCCUCCUCCUCCUCUUCUUCUUCUUCCUCCUCCUCCUCCUUUUUCUCUUCCUCCUCCUCCUCUCUCGGCUCCGGCUCCGCAGCGGCCCCGCUACGAUCGCGGCGGCGGCCCGGGGGCGACGCUGGCGCCUCCCUCCCCGCGGCGGGGCGGUGGCGGCGGGCGGAGCGCGGCCAAUGGGCGCCGCACGGGGGCGGGCACCCAGCACCGCCGGCGGGACACGGCCGGGUGGCACCCACACCACGGACCCCACACCACGGACCCCACACCUCAGACCCCACACCCCGGACCCCAGACUCAGACCCUGGACCCCGGUUCCCGAAGGUGGCGCCGCGGAGUGGGGACCUGGGGGGGGUCUCGGCUCACGGGGAGCAUCCCCCGGGACCGGGCCGUCUGCCCGCCCCCACCUCUCCCGCCGUAGCCCCUCUGUAUUUGGGAGGGGGCGACUUUCUGCCCUGGAGCGCGUUGCACCCCGUCCGCCGCUGUGUUUCGGAAAGUUUCCGCACAAAGCCGCUGCCGCUCGCGAUGCAAUCGCAAAGAAAGUCUGCACUUUCUACCCCCUUAAGGUUAAGACCUGGCUCCCCUGACUUCACCCCACACUGAUCUUCACCCCACACAAAGGUUGGCCUACUUGCAUCCAAGAGGAUUUAAAACUAAUGGGGAUGGGUGCCACGAGGAAAAUCUCUGAUCAGCAGUGCACUUUUCUGUCUGUGCUUCACCUGCUUGCAACCAGUCUUCCUAUAACCCAUCUCCACCAUUUGAAGAGGCCAAAAAUGUUGACUUCAGACUGACUCUACAUCCAGGGAGCCACAACAGUCUCAUCCAGGAAAGAGGACUGUUUUUUUUUUUUAUUGUGGUUUUGGUAUGUUCUCUUGCUUUUUUUUUUUUUUUUUUUUUUUUUUUUUUUUUUUUUUUUUUUUUUUUUUUUUUUUUUUUUUUUUUGUAUGUUUUAUUUAUUUAUUUACUUACUAAUAUAUAUGUGCUUUUAAAUACCAUUAUGAGUGCUGUGUGAUCCUCCCAGCACUCCUGAGGAAUCUGUCUAAUAUUCUGGCUAUAAGCCCUGAACCAUCAAGUAUCCAAUACUUUUAUUCAAUUAUUAAAAUGUAAACUAUUUGUUUAUACUUUAGUGAGAAUAGAUAUUGAGAAAAAACAACAACAACAACGAAAACAAACAAACAAACAAACAAAAAAAAAACUUUCACAGAAUCACAGAAUGGCUGGGGUUAGAAGGGACCUCUGAAGAUCAUCUAGUCCAACCCCACUGCUGACCAGGAUCACCUAGAGCACAUUGUGUGGGAUGGCAUCCAGGCAGAUUCUGAAGAGAAGAUAAGGCAGGUUGUGAACAGAAGGUUAUCCUUCCCUCCAGAGAAGGAGACUUCACAGCCUCUGUUGCCAACCUGUUCCAGUGCUCUGUCACUCUCACAGUAAAGAAAUGUCCCCUCAUAUUCAGCCGGAACCUCCUGUGCUUCAGUUUUUGCCCAUUGCUUCUUGUCCUCUCACUGGACACAACUGAAAAGAAUCUGGUUCCAUCCUCUUGACACCCUCCCUCCAGAUAUUUAUUGAUGAGAUCUUCCAUCAGUCUUUCCCAAGGCAUGCUUUAAUAAUGAGUUCUGUAAGUAUGAUGAAUAACUUUUUGAUACAGGUGCUAAGGGAGAUGACAAGGAAGGAUGCCCUCCUUGCUCUGUUUUUAAACACAGUUAGUUGUUUGUAAGCAUAGUGGAAUUCAUGAUUGUUAGCUGUCUUGGCCACAGUGAUCAUGGAACUGUUGAGUUUAAUGUCUUUGACUGUAUGAAAAAAUUGUCAAAGAGCUACUAGAUUUUGGGAGAACAGACUGUAGGUUGCUCAAGAAACUAGUAAGGCCCCCUAAAUGUAUUCAGGUCUGUAGAUGCUGAUCACUUUUUAAGAGCACAGGAGUAGGCAAUUCCAUUGUGUCAGAAGUCAAGCAAAUGGGACAGAAGGCCAGUUGUCUGAAUGGGAUCUCAUCCUGGAAUGCUGGGUGGAAAAAUGUAUUGGGUUUAUGUGGCAAGGCUUUGGUACUGGGAGGUUCCAGGGUGGCCUCUGUGAAAAGAAUCCAGAAGCUGCCCCAUAUUAGAUAAGGGCCAGUUGCAUCCAGUUCCAAUGGGGACCUGCUGCUGCUUUGAGCAGAAUAAAUAAGUGAUGUUGUUUGUGCAUCUGUGAAAGCAGAUUUAAGAAAGGGGAAAAAAAAAUAAAAAAUAAAAAA
rnacentral:lncRNA from 1 species